UACAUGGGGUGCAAACGUUGCUCGGAAUUAUUGGGCGUAAAGCGCACGUAGGCGGCUUGUUGCGUCGACUGUGAAAAACCACGACUCAACUGUGGGCUUGCAGCUGAUACGGGCAGGCUUGAGUUCGGUAGGGGAGACUGGAAUUCCUGGUGUAGCGGUGAAAUGCGCAGAUAUCGGGAAGAACACCCGUGGCGAAGGCGGCUCUCUGGGACGGUACUGACGCUGAGACGCGAAAGCGUGGGGAGCGAACAGG
rnacentral:rRNA from 1 species